rnacentral:rRNA from 1 species
AUUGAACGCUGGCGGCAGGCCUAACACAUGCAAGUCGAGCGGAUGAAGGGAGCUUGCUCCUGGAUUCAGCGGCGGACGGGUGAGUAAUGCCUAGGAAUCUGCCUGGUAGUGGGGGAUAGCGUCCGGAAACGGGCGCUAAUACCGCAUACGUCCUGAGGGAGAAAGUGGGGGAUCUUCGGACCUCACGCUAUCAGAUGAGCCUAGGUCGGAUUAGCUAGUUGGUGGGGUAAAGGCCUACCAAGGCGACGAUCCGUAACUGGUCUGAGAGGAUGAUCAGUCACACUGGAACUGAGACACGGUCCAGACUCCUACGGGAGGCAGCAGUGGGGAAUAUUGGACAAUGGGCGAAAGCCUGAUCCAGCCAUGCCGCGUGUGUGAAGAAGGUCUUCGGAUUGUAAAGCACUUUAAGUUGGGAGGAAGGGCAGUAAGUUAAUACCUUGCUGUUUUGACGUUACCAACAGAUUAAGCACCGGCUAACUUCGUG